rnacentral:rRNA from 1 species
GAUAAACGCUAGCGGCAGGCCUAACACAUGCAAGUCGAGGGGCAGCAUAAUCUUCGGAUUGAUGGCGACCGGCGCACGGGUGCGUAACGCGUAUGUAACCUACCUUUAACAGGGGGAUAAUCCAGAGAAAUUUGGUCUAAUACCCCAUAACACUAGAUAAGGCAUCUUAUAUAGUUGAAAAUUCCGAUGGUUAAAGAUGGACAUGCGUGACAUUAGCUAGAUGGUGAGGUAACGGCUCACCAUGGCAACGAUGUCUAGGGGGACUGAGAGGUUUUCCCCCCACACUGGUACUGAGACACGGACCAGACUCCUACGGGAGGCAGCAGUGAGGAAUAUUGGUCAAUGGACGCAAGUCUGAACCAGCCAUGCCGCGUGCAGGAUGACGGCUCUAUGAGUUGUAAACUGCUUUUGUACAGGGGUAAAAGUAGGUACGUGUACCUAUCUGAAAGUACUGUACGAAUAAGGAUCGGCUAACUCCGUGCCAGCAGCCGCGGUAACAC